rnacentral:rRNA from 1 species
ACCCCGUUGGCUUAAGCAUAUCAAUAAGCGGGAGGAAAAGAUACCAACAGGGAUUGCCUCAGUAACGGCGAGUGAAGCGGCAACAGCUCAAAUUUGAAAGCUGGCCCCCCCGGGGGUCCGCGUUGUAAUUUGUAGAGGAUGAUUCGGCGAGGGCUCCCGCCUAAGUCCCCUGGAACGGGGCGUCAUAGAGGGUGAGAAUCCCGUAUGCGGUGGGCUGCCUUAGCCAUGUGAAUCUCCUUCGACGAGUCGAGUUGUUUGGGAAUGCAGCUCUAAAUGGGAGGUAAAUUUCUUCUAAAGCUAAAUACCGGCCAGAGACCGAUAGCGCACAAGUAGAGUGAUCGAAAGAUGAAAAGCACUUUGGAAAGAGAGUUAAAAAGUACGUGAAAUUGUUGAAAGGGAAGCGCUUGCAGCCAGACUUGUCCGCAGUUGCUCAGCCGGUCUCCUGACCGGCGCACUCUUCUGCGGCCAGGCCAGCAUCAGUUCGGGCGGUCGGAUAAAGGCCCCGGGAACGUAGCUCCUCUCGGGGAGUGUUAUAGCCCGGGGUGGAAUGCGGCCAGCCUGGACUGAGGAUCUCGCUUCGGCUAGGAUGCUGUCGUAAAAAUUGCUGUAAGCGGCCCGUCUUG